rnacentral:rRNA from 1 species
UACGGAGGAUGCAAGCGUUAUCCGGAAUUAUUGGGCGUAAAGCGUCCGCAGGUGGUUUAUCAAGUCUGCUGUCAAAGCGCGAGGCUUAACUUCGUAAAGGCAGUGGAAACUGAUAGACUGGAGUGCGGUAGGGGCAGAGGGAAUUCCCAGUGUAGCGGUGAAAUGCGCAGAUAUCAGGAAGAACACCUAUGGCGAAGGCAGCUCUCUGGGACGGUACUGACGCUGAGACGCGAAAGCGUGGGGAGCGAACAGG